UACAGAGGGUGCAAACGUUGUUCGGAAUUACUGGGCGUAAAGCGCGUGUAGGCGGCCCAGCAAGUCGGAUGUGAAAGCCCUGGGCUUAACCUAGGAAGUGCAUUCGAAACUGCUGGGCUUGAGUUCUGGAGAGGAAGGCGGAAUUCUCGGUGUAGAGGUGAAAUUCGUAGAUAUCGAGAGGAACACCGGUGGCGAAGGCGGCCUUCUGGACAGUGACUGACGCUGAGACGCGAAAGCGUGGGGAGCAAACAGG
rnacentral:rRNA from 1 species